UGUAAAUUGCAUCCAACUUUAACUAUUUGUUUCCAAAAGAAAAAUGCUUUCGGAAAAGGUAAACAACAACAUUUUCUACAUUCAUAAUCAAAAUAAACUCUUACAGUCUUAUGCAAUACGCUAGAAUCAUGAAAAUUCAUUUCAAAGAGAAAAUACUUGGAUAAUGUUCCUUCUUAUUUGUAAAAUCAAUAAGUUCCACAUACUAAAAAUCCAUAAUUCAUUAUUCCUCCAUUUCAUUCAAAUUAAUUCUUAUUUGUUUUCUCAACCUCUCUUGAUAUCUUCAAUGAUUUAAGCUCAUCUAUAAAUUGCAUCAAAUUGUUGUAAGAGGUUCCACCCUCCUCUAUGCUCUUCUUAGCUGCAUCACAAAGUUUUCUUGCUCUCCUCCUCAUUUCUCCACUCUCUUCUCCUUUUCCCAUCAACACUGCCACAGCUUUUGCAAUCUCUUCCCUUCUCACCAAAGCAUCGUCAUCGACACUAGCCCAAAACUUGUUCACUUUUGAUCCAACUGAAACUCCAAUCUUCAAAACAUCAACAAGCAACUUCUCAUUGUAAAAUUGCUCAGCAAACAUUGGCCAUGCAAUCAUUGGCAAACCCGAGUUCAAGCUUUCAAGAAUUGAGUUCCAUCCACAGUGAGUCACAAUCCCUCCUGUUGCAGGGUGAUCCAAUAUAAGGAGCUGUGGUGCCCAAUUCCAUAUGAUAUAGCCCUUUUUGCUUUCUUUCAUCCUUUGCUCAAAAUCAUGAAGAAAACUGUCUUUGACUUCGCCUCCGUCUUUUUUCCUAACAACCCAAAUGAAAUUAUGACCUGAAUUUUCAAGUCCAUGAGCUAUUUCAACAACCUGAGCAUAAGAAAGCCUAGUCAAGCUUCCAAAACUUACAUACAACACAGAAUCAUUAGGGUUAGAGUUAAGCCAAUUUAACAAUUCUGACUGUAUUGCAAUGUUUCCAUCAUCCUUGUUAAUCCAUGUUGAAACUGGUCCCACACUCCAUGCUUUAAUCUUCAUGGUGCUCUUGUAAAGUUGCUCAUAAUCACUUUCAAGAUCAUGAAAGCUAUUAUACAGUGUUCCGUAGCUUUUGCUUUCUGAUUCAUAUACCACAUCCAAAUAAUCUGAGAAUUGACUUCUAGUCCUACACCAUUCUUCUAGCUGCAAAGAAGUAAUCUCAAUGUUAUGUGGAAGUUCCGGAAUUGAAAAAAGUUGGCCAUCAGAAACUAAAUUCUCAUGAGGCUUAUACUUUCUGAUAAAAUGAGCACAACAGCUAGAAAAGUAGCUUGAGCUGUAAUAGUAGAUCCUUGGAACACCGAGUUUCGCUGCUGAUUCAACUGUCCAAGGAUAGAACAUAUCAGAGACUAUGCAAUCAGGUUGAAGAUCUUGAAACAGAAUUUCAAUUUGAUCUUGAAGCAAUGAAAUUCCAUGACCGAUUUUACCAAGCAUUUCUAAGGAAGUUCCAUCUUUGAUGUUUUCGACACCUUCUGGAAGACCAACUUGUGCUGAAGGGAAUUGAAUGACACAAGUUCUGAUGGAAUAACCGCAACAGGUGUCGUUGUCGAUAGCUUUCUUGAAUAACAAGGCAUUGGCAUGUGUAGUGAUAAUGGUAACAUUAAUACCAUGCUUUGCAAAUAGUCUUGCUGUGUCAAUCAUAGGGUUCAUAUGGCCAGGAGUUAGAUAAGGUAGAAAAAUAACAUUGAGUUUUUGAGAUUGAGAUUCCAUUUUUAUGACAAGUUUAGAUGAGAAACUCUACUCGCUCUUUUGUUUUCAAACACACUUUGUUAUUCUACUAUCUUUGUUUCAAUCUUUCUCCUGCAAGUUUCUAGUGGUAACUGAUAUUAUUAUAGAAGACUGUUAUAUGAACACAAAAAUAGAUUCCUUACCUGCGACUUUCGAGGUCCGAAUUGUAAAAAUAAGCAACCGUCAAUAUUAAAAUAUGAAGAUUCUCGUGGACACUUCUAUUUAGAGAGAGAUAGACUCAUGAAAAAUGAUAAUAAUAUUUCAAAAAUAAUUUAUCCUACGAGUAUAUCUCUCUUCAAAUAGUAGUAGAGAAACUCUUACAUAGUCACAACCACAAAUAAAUAUCUAC
rnacentral:lncRNA from 1 species